AUUGAACGCUGGCGGAAUGCUUUACACAUGCAAGUCGAGCGGCAGCACGGACUUCGGUCUGGUGGCGAGUGGCGAACGGGUGAGUAAUGUAUCGGAACGUGCCCAGUCGUGGGGGAUAACGUAGUAAAAAUUACGCUAAUACCGCAUACGAUCUAUGGAUGAAAGCGGGGGAUCGCAAGACCUCGCGCGAUUGGAGCGGCCGAUAUCAGAUUAGGUAGUUGGUGGGGUAAAGGGCCACCAAGCCAACGAUCUGUAGCUGGUCUGAGAGGACGACCAGCCAAACUGGAACGGAGACACGGUCCAGACUCCUACGGGAGGCAACAGUGGGGAAUUUUGGACAAUGGGCGAAAGCCUGAUCCAGCCAUUCCGCGUGCAGGAUGAAGGCCCUCGGGUUGUAAACUGCUUUUGUACAGAACGAAAAGGUUUCUACUAAUACUAGGAGCUCAUGACGGUACUGUAAGAAUAAGCACCGGCUAACUACGUGCCAGCCGCCGCGGUAA
rnacentral:rRNA from 1 species